rnacentral:rRNA from 1 species
UACGGGGGGGGGCAAGCGUUGUUCGGAAUUACUGGGCGUAAAGGGCUCGUAGGCGGCGCAACAAGUCACUUGUGAAAUCUCCGGGCUUAACCCGGAGCGGCCAAGUGAUACUGUCGUGCUAGAGUGCGGAAGGGGCUACUGGAAUUCUCGGUGUAGCGGUGAAAUGCGCAGAUAUCAGGAGGAAUACCAGCGGCGAAGGCGGCGCUCUGGGCCGGUACUGACGCUGAGGAGCGAAAGCGUGGGGAGCAAACAGG